CUAAAAUUUGACUCAAAAAACAUUCAUUCUAUAUUUUUUCCUGCACAAAAAUGAAAACGUGUUGACUAAAAAAAAGCAUAAAAAUGUGUGAUAAACUGUAUUAAAAAAAAUAUGAUUGGAGUGUAUUUGUUAGCGUGUUGGUGGCACUGCGAUUGUGGAAAGUGGGUAAUCAGAGUAGCCUGUUAUUAUCGUGCCUGAUCAGACUAGGGAGAAGCAUUUUUCUAUAACACUAUUGAGGAAAGGGUGUUCUUUUAAGAGGCUAGUGAAAGAUCUGUAUGUUUGAAUGUACUGAAAUCUACUGUUGCAUCACAAAAUCUUAAAUUGUAGAAUUUUUAAUUUUUUAGAACUUCAGAUGCACCAAAAACAAACUGAAUUGUUCAUUCUUAACAUGUGGAAUGCUGCUAGAAUGCUGAUAGUUUUGAACAUUUCAAAUAAAAUCCCCAAAAAAUGUAUGACUAAAAAAUAAGUUUAAAUUUUGUGUGGGUUGUAGCCAUGAGAGCAUUAGAGCACGGUGUAUUUUGUAAAGGGGAUGGGGGGGGGGUUUGUACUAUAUAUAAAUAUAUACAUGUUUGCUUGUUUGUGACGUCACUGUCCACAGACAGAGAGAAAGGGUUUGAUUUUUCUUUUUCUUUUUUUUUCCUCCUUGGAGGGGGAGGGCAGGGGGUUUAGGGCUGUAUGCCUUUUGUAUUGAUAUGCUUUUUUGUCUUGUUUUUCUUUGUUACAAGUGUUUAAAAAAAAGUGCAAACAAAAAGUGAAUUUCCUUCUCAAGAUUGUGUCUUGUUAACAGUUGGUGUCUUGAAGCUUCUCACGACCCACUCCCACCGAAGUACGCUCGACUUUCUGUGCAGUUUGACCUUUUUUUCCCCUCGACUUUCCGAGUCUGCUUUACUCCUCUCAUACGCCGUCUUCUGUGAACACCAGUGGCGGGACAUAGCUAACGUGUUGCACUUACGAAUGAUACGUGAAAGACUCUACGGUGCUGUCACUCACACAGAUGUGAAUUCCUGCUAUAACACGAACCCCUUUUGUCCCGGCGCUGCGCUUGUCACAGUCAAUGAUGUCACCACGGGGGUAGAUGUACUACUUUUGAUUUGUAUAUAUGGGUUAUGUACUGUUCGUAGAGUACGAAACGGCUAAAGCCUUAAGACACACAAAUGUAUGGAAACAAUAGAUGUUAUAUCAGAAACUGAUUGCAAACGUGGUCUGCUGAAAUGAACCCAUCGCCAGUCAUUCCCACUGAUCGUGACUGCGUCUCAGGUGUUUCACACCUUUCCAAAUAUACAUAAACACACACUUACAUGCAUACACGUACACACACUCAUCCUUGAACAUGUACUGCCUCUUGUAAGCUAAACGAAAGAGGUUUUUGUCUGUUUUACAUCCAAUCAGAAAUGGACAUUUCUAUGCUGUUACUUUUUAAGAAUUGGGCUACUUUGAUGUUGACUGCUAAAUAUGUGGUUAAAAGGAAUGAACUUAAAAUAAAAAACUGAAAAUGUAGAGAG
ensembl:lncRNA